rnacentral:rRNA from 1 species
AUUGAACGCUGGCGGCAUGCUCUACACAUGCAAGUCGAACGGUAACAGGCCGCAAGGUGCUGACGAGUGGCGAACGGGUGAGUAAUGCAUCGGAACGUGCCCAGUCGUGGGGGAUAACUACUCGAAAGAGUAGCUAAUACCGCAUACGAUCUAUGGAUGAAAGCGGGGGACCGUAAGGCCUCGCGCGAUUGGAGCGGCCGAUGUCCGAUUAGGUAGUUGGUGGGGUAAAGGCUCACCAAGCCAACGAUCUGUAGCUGGUCUGAGAGGACGACCAGCCACACUGGGACUGAGACACGGCCCAGACACCUACGGGAGGCAGCAGUGGGGAAUUUUGGACAAUGGGCGCAAGCCUGAUCCAGCAAUGCCGCGUGCAGGAAGAAGGCCUUCGGGUUGUAAACUGCUUUUGUACGGAACGAAACGGCUCUGGUUAAUACCCGGGGCUAAUGACGGUACCGUAAGAAUAAGCACCGGCUAACUACGUG